GGAGAGGGAGCAGGAGAGCCAGAGGGGCAGCUGUUGGGAAGGCCCCUGAGUGGGAGGCUGAUUGCUGUGAUUAUAUCAGCAUGCUCUGAGGUGUCCUACAUAGGCCAGGACUGCAGAGAGAUUCCAGAGCACCUCGGCAGGGACUGUGGACACUUUGCAAAGAGGCUUGAUCUGAGCUUUAACCUUCUGAGGCCCAUGCGUCAUGUUAGAAAACUCUUGGAGAGGAAGAGAGAGAACCAGCAGGUGUGUUGGGGGCCUUUAGGGAUGCUUUUGUGGAUGACCCCGUUGCUCAAAGAUUUGCUGAAUCCCAGGUAGAGUGUAUGUGUUCUUCUUUUAUUUUCUUUGCCUUUUUAUGAAUUGAAACUUUAAAUAUUUGUGAUGAUGAUUUCUCCCAGAUGGUAUUUCAAAGUAAUUCCAAUGCUGUUGGCAUGGGGUAGGUGGGAGGGAAGCUCAAACAACUGUUCCAGACUUGGCAGAGAAGGUAA